rnacentral:rRNA from 1 species
AUUGAACGCUGGCGGCAGGCCUAACACAUGCAAGUCGAACGGUAACAGGAAGAAGCUUGCUUCUUUGCUGACGAGUGGCGGACGGGUGAGUAAUGUCUGGGAAACUGCCUGAUGGAGGGGGAUAACUACUGGAAACGGUAGCUAAUACCGCAUAACGUCGCAAGACCAAAGAGGGGGACCUUCGGGCCUCUUGCCAUCGGAUGUGCCCAGAUGGGAUUAGCUAGUAGGUGGGGUAACGGCUCACCUAGGCGACGAUCCCUAGCUGGUCUGAGAGGAUGACCAGCCACACUGGAACUGAGACACGGUCCAGACUCCUACGGGAGGCAGCAGUGGGGAAUAUUGCACAAUGGGCGCAAGCCUGAUGCAGCCAUGCCGCGUGUAUGAAGAAGGCCUUCGGGUUGUAAAGUACUUUCAGCGGGGAGGGAGGGAGUAAAGUUAAUAUCUUUGCUCAUUGACGUUACCCGCAGAAGAAGCACCGGCUAACUCCGUG